CCUACGGGAGGCAGCAGUAGGGAAUAUUGGUCAAUGGACGAAAGUCUGAACCAGCCAUCCCGCGUGCAGGACGACGGCCCUAUGGGUUGUAAACUGCUUUUAUACAGGAAGAAUAAGCCUUACGUGUAAGGUGAUGACGGUACUGUAAGAAUAAGGAUCGGCUAACUCCGUGCCAGCAGCCGCGGUAAUACGGAGGAUCCAAGCGUUGUCCGGAUUUAUUGGGUUUAAAGGGUGCGUAGGCGGUUUGUUAAGUCAGUGGUGAAAGUUUGCGGCUUAACCGUAAAAUUGCCAUUGAAACUGACAGACUUGAAUUUGGUUGAGGUUGCCGGAAUGUGUCAUGUAGCGGUGAAAUGCUUAGAUAUGAUACAGAACACCAAUUGCGAAGGCAGGUUAACUAAACCAAUAUUGACGCUGAGGCACGAAAGCGUGGGGAUCAAACAGGAUUAGAUACCCUGGUAGUCCACGCCCUAAACGUUGAUUACUCGUUGUUGGCCGAUACACUNUCNGCGACUAGACGAAGACGUAGUAAUAC
rnacentral:rRNA from 1 species